rnacentral:rRNA from 1 species
GUAGGUGGCAAGCGUUGUCCAGAAUUAUUGGGCGUAAAGCGCGCGCAGGCGGUUCUUUAAGUCUGAUGUGAAAGCCCACGGCUCAACCGUGGAGGGUCAUUGGAAACUGGAGAACUUGAGUACAGAAGAGGAAAGCGGAAUUCCACGUGUAGCGGUGAAAUGCGUAGAGAUGUGGAGGAACACCAGUGGCGAAGGCGGCUUUCUGGUCUGUAACUGACGCUGAGGCGCGAAAGCGUGGGGAGCAAACAGGAUUAGAUACCCUGGUAGUCCACGCCGUAAACGAUGAGUGCUAAGUGUUAGGGGGGUUUCCGCCCCCCUUAGUGCUGCAGCUAACGCAUUAAGCACUCCGCCUGGGAGUACGGCCGCAAGGCUG